CAAUAUAUGCAGGGGAGCUGAGUGAACUUGGCUGAGAGGAUACUGAUUCUUGUAUCGACCCUUUAACCUGAUCUGGGUAAUGCCAGCGGAGGGAAUGCGGAAGAUGCGUUAUU
rnacentral:ncRNA from 2 species